UGCCCAGCAACUCCUAUCCCUACCUCCUCGCGGUACCGGCCGGAAACUAUGAGCAACCUUAGGGAAGAUCGGCUAACCAACCCCGGUGGGAACUUUGGUCAUAGGCUGACAGGGAAGG
rnacentral:ribozyme from 1 species